rnacentral:rRNA from 1 species
UAUCAGCACCCCGAGUGGUCGGGACGAUUAUUGGGCCUAAAGCAUCCGUAGCCGGCCUUACAAGUCCUCCGUUAAAUCCAGCUGCUUAACAGAUGGGCUGCGGAGGAUACUAUAAGACUAGGAGGCAGGAGAGGCAAGCGGUACUCAGUGGGUAGGGGUAAAAUCCGUUGAUCCAUUGAAGACCACCAGUGGCGAAGGCGGCUUGCCAGAAUGCGCUCGACGGUGAGGGAUGAAAGCUGGGGGAGCAAACGGG